rnacentral:ncRNA from 1 species
UAUAAGUUUUAUUCUUGCUAUCAGUUUAUUUUAUUUAAGUUUUACAUGUAAAUUUUUGUGAGGGGAUAGGUUAUUUAAAUAGUAGAAGUUUCAUUCGCAGUAUAUAAUUUUAUAAAUUAAGGUAAUUUAGAUUUAGCUAUAAAUUAAAGUAUUGGUUAAAUUCGUGCCAGCCACCGCGGUUAGACGAUAAAUAUGAAUAAACAUAAUUAGUUGGGAGUUAAUGUUAGUAUAAUGAGAUGUUAUUAUAUAAUAUUUUAAGGUAAAAUUUAUGAAUAUUAUUUAUGCAUUGAAUGUUACAUGAAGCUUUGAAAUUUUAAAGUUGAGACUAGGAUUAGAUACCCUAUUAUUAAAAAUGUAAAAUUGUGGCUUGGGUAGUAUUAGUUAAGUUCUUGAAACCCAAAGAAUUUGGCGGUGUUUUAGUCUUUUCAGAGGAAUCUGUCCCGUAAUCGAUAAUUCACGAUUGGGUUAACUUAAUUUUAAGGAUUUGUAUACCGCCGUCAUCAGAAUAUUUUUAUAGAAAAAUUUCGAUACACUUAAGUAAGUAAGAUGUCAGGUCAAGGUGCAGUUGAUGAUUAAGGGGAGAUGGAUUACAAUAAUGUUAAUUAUAAUGGAUAUUUAAUUUGAAUUUAAAUUGAAGGUGGAUUUGAUAGUAAUAGAAUUAAAUAGAUUUUGUGAUUUUAGCUCUAAAACAUGCACACAUCGCCCGUCGCUCUCAUAUUAGUUGAGAUAAGUCGUAACAAAGUAGAUGUACUGGAAAGUGUGUCUGGAAUGU